AUAAAUGCUGGCGGCGUGCCUAACACAUGCAAGUCGAGCGGCAGCGCGAGUAGUUUACUACUUGGCGGCGAGCGGCGGACGGCUGAGUAACGCGUGGGAACGUACCCCAAAGUGAGGAAUAACUGCCCGAAAGGGUGGCUAAUGCCGCAUAUGGUCUUCGGAUUAAAGGAUUUAUCCGCUUUGGGAACGGCCUGCGUACGAUUAGAUAGUUGGUGGGGUAAAGGCCUACCAAGUCUACGAUCGUUAACUGGUCUGAGAGGAUGAUCAGUCAGACUGGAACUGAGAUACGGUCCAGACUCCUACGGGAGGCAGCAGUGAGGAAUCUUCCACAAUGGACGAAAGUCUGAUGGAGCAACGCCGCGUGCAGGAUGAAGGCCUUCGGGUUGUAAAUGGCUUUUUUUAGGGACGAACAAAUGACGGUACCUAAAGAAUAAGUGGUUGCUAACUCUGU
rnacentral:rRNA from 1 species